rnacentral:sRNA from 1 species
GCUGGGUGCAAUGGCACGCACCUGUAAUUCCAGAGACUGGGGAGGCUGAGGCAGGAGGAUUACAAGUUCAAGGAAAGCUUCAGUAAUUUAGCAAUGCCUUAAGUAAUUUAGUGAGACCCUCUCUU